CAUUGAAGGUGCUCUUAGUAACUGAUGGUAUGAAAAAUACACAGCAGAGUAGUUAUGGCAUUACAAAAAAGAGAGACUAACAAUUAACAACUUUGUCACCCUCCUUAACAACUUGAGCAUAUAUCACAAAGAUAACGAACAUGUCCCAAGACCCGAGCUCGAACAACAAAGUGUACAAUCAAAUUCCGAAAAUCCAAACCAGACAACUAUCGCAACACUUAAACCCACCUGUGUUACAAAAUCAAUAUAAUUCUAGUGAAAGAAACUAUCACGACUUUGGUAACUAACCG
rnacentral:lncRNA from 1 species